CUUUGAAUUUUGACGUUUUAUGUAAA
rnacentral:piRNA from 1 species